AGAGUUUGAUCAUGGCUCAGGAUGAACGCUGGCGGCGUGCCUAAUACAUGCAAGUCGAACGAGAUGCUUUUGUAGCAAUACGAGAGUAUUCUAGUGGCGAACGGGUGAGUAACGCGUUGGUGACCUACCCCAAAGUGUGGGAUAACAGUCCGAAAGGAUUGCUAAUACCGCAUGUGGUCUUCGGAUUUAGAAACUGAUGACUAAAGGAGCAAUUCGCUUUGGGAGGGACCUGCGUCCCAUCAGCUAGUUGGUGAGGUAAUGGCUCACCAAGGCGACGACGGGUAGGGGACCUGAGAGGGUGACCCCCCACAAUGGAACUGAAACACGGUCCAUACACCUACGGGUGGCAGCAGUAGGGAAUAUUGCUCAAUGGGCGAAAGCCUGAAGCAGCAACGCCGCGUGCGCGAUGAAGGUCUUCGGAUCGUAAAGCGCUUUUCUGCGAGAUGAGAAAGGACAGUAUCGUAGGAAUAAGUCUCGGCUAACUACGUGCCAGCCGCCGCGGUAAUAC
rnacentral:rRNA from 1 species